UGAUCAGCAGAAAGUGAUAACCAGAGGU
rnacentral:piRNA from 1 species